GACCCCCAGUGGGCACCACCCUUUUCUCCAAUUCAAGGGAACACUCACUCCCCUCGGAAUGCAAACACUCCAGCUGUGGCCAAGAUGUUCCCAGUGAUGGAGGCACAAUUCACAGAAUAUUCAGAGUUGGAAGGGACCCACCAGGAUCACUGAGUCCAACUCAAGAGAAUCAUAGAGGGAUCAAACCCACAGCCCUGGAGUUCCCAGCACCAUGCUCCAACCAGCUGAGUCCAGCUCCUCCCUAAGGAUCUUCCCAUGCCAAAGCCAUGAGUCCCUUCUGACUGCAUGUGAAGCAAACAGGCUGAAGUCCAGGGGAAGAACAACAUGGAACCCAAGAGUCCCAUCUGUACCAUAGACAGAACUUCCACCAAAACAAAACUGCAUUUUAACCCUUUGCACACACUUCAUAAUGGGCAAGAGAAACAAAGAACAAGCUAUAUCCACCAGGCAAACAUCCAGAUGAGGCCAA